UCUACGGGUGGCAGCAGUGGGGAAUAUUGGACAAUGGGGGGAACCCUGAUCCAGCGACGCCGCGUGAGUGAAGACGUAUUUCGGUAUGUAAAGCUCUAUCAGCAGGGAAGAAAGAAAUGACGGUACCUGACUAAGAAGCCCCGGCUCACUACGUGCCAGCAGCCGCGGUAAUACGUAGGGGGCAAGCGUUAUCCGGAUUUACUGGGUGUACAGGGAGCGUAGACGGCGAUGUAAGUCUGAAGUGAACUGGGGGGGCCCAACCCCCGGACUGCUUUGGACAAUGUAUGGCUGGAGUGCAGGAGAGGUAAGUGGAAGUCCUAGUGGAGCGGUGAAAUGCGUAGAUAUUAGGAGGAACACCAGUGGCGAAGGCGGCUUACUGGACUGUAACUGACGUUGAGGCUCGAAAGCGUGGGGAGCAAACAGGAUUAGAUACCCCAGUAGUC
rnacentral:rRNA from 1 species